GCUCCAGGAGCUGCAGGAAGAAACAGCUAUCCUUUGGAUCAUCCUUCUCCAUGUGUCAGAAGCCAUAACCCUGAUUACGUGACUGCUGGGAAGGAUGCUAUGAGCCAUGGUGUGUGUGCCACCCAAUCUCUGCCUUUAAAUAAACCACACCUGACAGCCCCAUGCUAUCCUGAGCCCCUUCAAGUUCCUGGAACCUCCCAGAUGCUUCUGAAGAUCGGAAGCUCCAGGAUAGCAAAAGACUUGUGCAUCACUGCUGUACCCUGCAUGCCUCGAGCAAUGCCAGGAACAAGCCGUCACUCAAUAAGCAACUGUGAGAGAAUGAUACCUUUGUCAUCAGCAGCAAACCAAAGACAGGUAGACACCUGAGGCAGGCACAGGGGACAGACACAGCGAGGAACCCCACACAGGAGAUUUUUUUCAAGAAAAGCAGCUGUUCUGCAGUGGACCCAAGAGCAAGAAAAUUUUAGUGAGUUACCAAAGAUAAAGGAGACAGAAAUUUGUUACAUGUGAAAAGCACUGAUGAUGUGG